rnacentral:rRNA from 1 species
AUUGAACGCUGGCGGCAUGCUUUACACAUGCAAGUCGAACGGUAACAGGUCUUUCGGGAUGCUGACGAGUGGCGAACGGGUGAGUAAUGUAUCGGAACGUGCCCAGUAGUGGGGGUUAACUACUCGAAAGAGUGGCUAAUACCGCAUGAGAUCUCUGGAUGAAAGCGGGGGACCGUAAGGCCUCGCGCUACUGGAGCGGCCGAUAUCAGAUUAGGUUGUUGGUGAGGUAAAGGCUCACCAAGCCGACGAUCUGUAGCGGGUCUGAGAGGAUGAUCCGCCACACUGGAACUGCGACACGGUCCAGACUCCUACGGGAGGCAGCAGUGGGGGAAUUUUGGACAAUGGGCGCAAGCCUGAUCCAGCCAUGCCGCGUGAGUGAAGAAGGCCUUCGGUUGUAAG